AUUGAACGCUGGCGGCAGGCCUAACACAUGCAAGUCGAGCGGAGUGGCGAACGGGUGAGUAAUGCCUAGGAAUCUGCCUGGUAGUGGGGGAUAACGUCCGGAAACGGGCGCUAAUACCGCAUACUAUCAGAUGAGCCAAGGUCGGAUUAGCUAGUUGGUGGGGUAAAGGCCUACCAAGGCGACGAUCCGUAACUGGUCUGAGAGGAUGAUCAGUCACACUGGAACUGAGACACGGUCCAGACUCCUACGGGAGGCAGCAGUGGGGAAUAUUGGACAAUGGGCGAAAGCCUGAUCCAGCCAUGCCGCGUGUGUGAAGAAGGUCUUCGGAUUGUAAAGCACUUUCAGCGGGGAGGCGUUACCCGCAGAAGAAGCACCGGCUAACUCCGUGCCAGCAGCCGCGGUAAUUC
rnacentral:rRNA from 1 species